CAAGUCAAGGGGACCCGCAAGGGUAACCGGCGAACGGCAUAGUAACACGUGGGUACCAACCCUAAAGUGGGGCAUAGCUCGUCGAAAGACGGGGUAAUUUCCCAUAGCACCGAAAGGUUAAAGCAGCAAUGCGCUUUAGGAUGGGCCUGCGGCCUAUCAGAUUGUUGGCGAGGUAAAGGCUCACCAAGUCUAUGACGGGUAGGGGGCGUGAGAGCGCGACCCCCAUGAAUGGCACUGCGACACGGGCCAUACUCCUACGGGAGGCUGCAGUCGAGAAUCUUCCGCAAUGGGCGAAAGCCUGACGGAGCGACGUUACGUGAAUGAUGAAGCCCUUCGGGGUGUAAAGUUCUUUUAUGUAUGAGGAAGGCGCAA
rnacentral:rRNA from 1 species